rnacentral:rRNA from 1 species
UACGUAGGGGGCUAGCGUUGUUCGGAAUCACUGGGCGUAAAGCGCACGUAGGCGGAUUGUUAAGUCGGGGGUGAAAUCCUGAGGCUCAACCGCAGAACUGCCUUUGAUACUGGGAAGCUUGAGUCCGGGAGAGGUGAGUGGAACUCCGAGUGUAGAGGUGAAAUUCGUAGAUAUUCGGAAGAACACCAGUGGCGAAGGCGGCUCACUGGCCCGGUACUGACGCUGAGGUGCGAAAGCGUGGGGAGCAAACAGG